rnacentral:misc_RNA from 1 species
GGUUCACAAAGUUGAGGAGCCGCAGGUCGACCACUACUUUCAACAGAGUCUCCAUGAGCUGAAGUCGUAAUUGCAAAACUACCUUUUAUUUCACUGGUCACAAACUGAUCUGGAUGUUUAUCUGUCAGUGAGGUGGACUGAACACUAAGUGAAGCAGCAUCCACAAUUUUGAAAUUCAGGGGAUCGCCACCUUCCUCUAGAAAUUCUAACUGUCUUUUCCUUUCAUGUAGGCCACUGCACUCCUGCCUUAGCUCUGCUCGAACCUUCUCAAUUGCUAUUGUCUGCGGAGAAGUUAUGGUACCAAUACCCACUCCGCCUUCAACAAAUCCUCCCAUGGAAUCAAUCCCGGCAUCGACUAUAACAUCAGAUCCAAC